CUGCCAUCAACAUAAAUCACAAGACGAUUAGAAUGUAGAAUGUUGUGUGCCUCUCUUAGAAUCCCUUGCCUUCAAGGCUAUCAUGCCCUUCAAGUCUCUUGCAUCCUGAAAAAGCUUCUUCGAGCUUCAAGGAAACAUAGACAUUGCUUUGAAGAGUAGGGACCUAUACCAAAUUCAACUAAUUAAAAAGCACAACACAAUAGUUCUGGA
rnacentral:lncRNA from 1 species